UACGUAGGGUGCGAGCGUUAAUCGGAAUUACUGGGCGUAAAGCGUGCGCAGGCGGUUCGUUGUGUCGGCGGUGAAAAGCCCCCGGGCUUAACCUGGGAAUGGCCGUUGAAACUGGCGAACUGGAGUGUGGCAGAGGGGGGGGUGGAAUUCCGCGUGUAGCAGUGAAAUGCGUAGAGAUGCGGAGGAACACCGAUGGCGAAGGCAGCCCCCCUGGGCUAACACUGACGCUCAGGCACGAAAGCGUGGGGAGCAAACAGG
rnacentral:rRNA from 1 species